CACCUUGAACGUGAAAGUGAGAAUGGCUCAGUGAGUGGGAUCGGCCUAGAACAUCACGGAGCUGAUGAACGUUCCCUUUUUCAGAACCAUGGAGAGCGCAGUGUGCAUUGUGGCGCAGUCCCUUCUACUCCUACUCAGAGCCAUAGAUACAGUAUUUUGUUCAUAGUUCACAUUUUUAUGAACUCCCAAAUCAUGCUCAAAAUUCAAUUUAAUUGAUGUCACUGUUGAGUUUUGUUUUAAUCAGUUUGGUUAACAUGUUCAUCCCAUUGCUCAUUGUGACAUAGCCAACCAUGACCCCGCUGAGAUUGCUCCGCGAGAAGCCGCUUCUGUGUGCAGCUGGCCUUGUGCUUACGAUCGGUUCUGCAGUCUACUUUUAUAGUAAAUACGGAGUCGGUGAGGAUGCACCGGCCACUGUGGAGAGCGUGGACCGUAUUGUCACGGUUGAGGAGGAUAAUGAGCACACCCUGGACCAGGAGGACCCAGUCCUUGUUCAGUAUGUGGAUGAGGAGGUUGGGCACCGGCCCUGUCUGGCUUUAAUCCCUUGGUCUGGACCUCUGUGGGUUCCCAGUCUGUUUCACUGCAGCCAACAUAUUACCUGACCCAUGCUGGUGAGAGAGCUGGCAGUUUUAAACACACAGAUUUGCACAAUUGAGCAGCACAUUUUCAUCUCUCGUCCUGGCACGAUGGUAUGGGAUGAACUGUCCUUUCAGCUUGAAGAGGUAGACAUUCACCUGCAGGUUCAGCAGCAGCCCUGUCUGGCUUUAAUCUCUUGGUGUGGACCUCCGUGGGAUUCAAAUGCUCCUGUCAAACUGCAGCCAAUUUAUAACCUUCCCAUGCUGGGAGGAUGCUGGUGAGAGAGCUGGCAGUGCUAAACACACAGAUUUUCACAGUGGAGCAACCCGUUUAUUAUCUGUUUCACUCCUGCUAGGAGGAUGGUAUGGGAGGAACUGUCCGCUCAAAAUGAACAGUAUGUGGAUGAGGAGUUUGGACAGUGGACCUGUCUGGCUUUAAUCCCUUGGUCUGGACCCUUGUGUGUUCCUAUCUCCCCUGCCUUCUCCAAGGCCAAACCAGUCUACUACCUCACCCUUGCUGGGAGAAUGCUAGUAACAGAACUUGCAGUGUUAAACACACAGACUUCCAAAUUGGUUAUGGAGGAGCCUACCCUUCACCUUACUGAAGCUGGGAGGCUAGUGCUUGACGAACUGUCAGCACCUUCAGAUUGCCAUUCACAGCCAAAUAGUGAAGACUCCUUUUCCUUACGAGAAGUUGCAGCUGGUUGAGAACUGGGCAAAAUUAAGAGGACAUGCAUCACCUGUGCAUUGUGAGGGGAGUGGAGAAACAGCUGUGGUGGAGCAGAGUCAUCCAGGAAAACGUCCUGGACCCAUGGGUGGUCUUCAACAACAAGGAGGUGACUGGUAUUAAGAAGGAUCCAUGGCCUUGUCAAGAGGAGGUCAGAGUUCACCUAUUAUGAGGACGCCCAGGUUUAUUUCAGAGUUUGGUUGAGGGGCUCUCAAUAUGGUGGUUUUCAGUGUUGGGCUUGCAGUGUCACAUGUUGUGUUAAACAGCACGUGGAUAUCUCCACCACGGUGGAGCGGUUCCAGGAGAGGGGGGAUGAGAUGAUGGCAUAUCAACUCUCUACCUCUGACAUCAUCACCACCCCUCAUGAGCCUUCCUUCCCCAAUGAUUCUCUGCCACCCCCUCCGCCUCCCCUUUUCCCUUGUUAUUCCCCUCCCAGUCCGCCUCCACCUUACCACUCCACCCAGGACCGGGACCAGGCCCCUGACAGCACUCCUCAGGAGUUGAGGGGGAGUUUGUGGAGGAGCAAAAUAAUGUUGCAGUGGCGGGGUUACUUUGCAAACCAAGGGAAAACCAACUUCUCUCUGAGGCUAGCCGGUAUCUGACGUGGAGGAUGUGAGGCUGUUUCAGCAGGUGUACGACCUCUUGGGGAGCUUCAUUAAUGAGCCAGCAAACGGAGCGACCUGAGCAGGAGAUGGUUCUUGUAGGAAUCCAUCGUAUCAACUUCGCAGAUGUUUUUUAUGAAUUCGUUCUACUAAUCCUUCUAGAAGGAAAAACAUAUCUUCCUACUUCUAGGCCUGGUAGCUUCCUUUUAUCUGCUCCCCGAAGUCACAAUGAGGAUUCGCCCUCCUGUAGCAGCCUGGAACUUCUACCUCCUCGUUAAGGGGAUGUUUUCAAUGGAACACUUCAUGACUCUGCAUGGUUGCUCGGAUACCAACAGGAAGUAUGGUAAGCAUGUCACAUCACCCAGCCUUUGGAGCUAAAUGGUUCUGAUACCCUGAAGGGUAAAAACUUUUGUACAGU